rnacentral:rRNA from 1 species
GACGAGCGCUGGCGGCGUGCCUAACACAUGCAAGUCGAGCGAGAAUCUGAUUAUUGAUCCCUUCGGGGUGAUUUAAUCAGAGGAAAGCGGCGGACGGGUGAGUAACGCGUGAGUAACCUGCCUUCAGGAGGGGGACAACAUUCCGAAAGGGAUGCUAAUACCGCAUGACAUUGUUUAUCGCAUGAUAGAACAAUCAAAGAUUUUAUCGCCUGAAGAUGGACUCGCGUCUGAUUAGAUAGUUGGUGGGUAACGGCCUACCAAGUCGACGAUCAGUAGCCGGACUGAGAGGUUGAACGGCCACAUUGGGACUGAGACACGGCCCAGACUCCUACGGGAGGCAGCAGUGGGGAAUAUUGCACAAUGGGCGCAAGCCUGAUGCAGCAACGCCGCGUCGAGGGAAGACGGGUCUUCGGAUUGUAAACCUCUGUCCUUGGUGAAGAUAAAUGACGUAGCCUUGAGGAAGCCGACGGCUAACUACGUGACCG